CGUUACAGUAGUACGUUUGCUCCGUCGGCUACGAGACGACGCUGGCGGCGUGCUUAACACAUGCAAGUCGAACGCUGAAGCUUGGUGCUUGCACUGGGUGGAUGAGUGGCGAACGGGUGAGUAAUACGUGAGUAACCUGCCCUUGACUCUGGGAUAAGCCUGGGGAAACUGGGUCUAAUACUGGAUAUGACCUCCUGUCGCAUGGUGGGGGUGGAAAGGGUUUGUACUGGUUGUGGAUGGGCUCACGGCCUAUCAGCUUGUUGGUGGGGUAAUGGGCCUACCCAAGGCGACGACGGGUAGCCGGCCUGAGAGGGUGACCGGCCACACUGGGACUGAGACACGGCCCAGACUCCUACGGGAGGCAGCAGUGGGGAAUAUUGCACAAUGGGCGCAAGCCUGAUGCAGCGACGCCGCGUGAGGGAUGACGGCCUUCGGGUUGUAAACCUCUUUCAGCACGGAAGAAGCGAAAGUGACGGUACGUGCAGAAGAAGCGCCGGCUAACUACGUG
rnacentral:rRNA from 1 species